GUGCAGAAAUCAAGAAUGUGCAUUGGAUGACUUUUCACAGAGUAAACCCAGACGUGAAAGAAAGCACACAAACCAGAGACAGAAUAUCAACGGCAGCAACCUUGGCCACCUUCUGAUCCCAAGGGCCACCAAAGGAAAUUGAUAACCUGACUACAAACACCGUAGAUCCGACUUUGACAUUGAUCUUGAAGCUGGCCUUCCAACCCCAUGCAACCCCACGCCUUCCCACGUCAGUGGAGUAGUCAGAAGGUGAACUCCAUGAGGACAGGAAAACAGUCUCUCCUCUGCCCUUAGUAUGGAGGACAGCGCCUGCACAAGGCUCACAAGGGGAGCAGGUGGCCUGGAAUUUGCAGGGAACCAGAGUGAGUAAUCACAGUGGAGAAGAGGCACAGAAUAUUCUAUCCCAGAUAUAUAUUGCAGCCUAAGAGAACGUCUAUCUGCCAGAAGCCAGUGUUUGGCAUGAGAUUCGGCCAACAGAGGGAUCUGUGGGAUGAAGGAAAAAACACAGUGAAGACGUGAAAAGAGGAAAGCAGGCAUCCACAGAGAUGGUUUUGCUGCUAUGAAUAGCCAUGUGCCGGAUUUUGUGCGGAUGUAAAUAUCAAGGAGUAUUGGGAUAAGUACCAAGGAGCGGGACUGCUGGGUCAGAUGACACGAUGAGGAGUCGGCAGUCUACAGCCCAGAAGAGGGUUCUCCCAGGAACCACACCAUGCCAGCACCCCGAUCUUGGACUUGAAGCCUCCAGAACCACAAGAAGUCAGGAUUGAGAGCUCUCAGGGCUGGGGUUGACCUUGAAUCCAAGCGCAUUGAUUUCCAUAAAAGCAGACAACCAUACGAUAAAGAGAUACGUUCCAUGGCAGAGACAGGUAAUGCUCACCUACAUUGGGUCACCUCCUUUCCCGGGUGCAUGAAAGGAUUACAUGUCUCCACUCACACGCCCCUUGAAAGUUGGGUCAGACCAUUAGUUCUGGCCAAUUGGUUGUGAGCAGAGUGGAGGCAUAUUUCUUCUGGAUCAGAGCAUUUAAUUGCUCAUGUGAAAUCUUCCAGGCUGUCUUCCCUGCCUUGGCAAUCAUGGAAAUGUGCGUGCGAUGGAAAUGCUAUAGGACGGAAGCAACCUAGAGCUCCAGAUCACUUCGUGAAGACUGAGAAGACCACGUCCAAGAGCACGUCCAUGAGUGUGGUUUCCAUCCGCAGCCAGGAGAAGGCUCCUGUCGUGCAGGGUUGCUGUUGUUUGUUAGCUACCCAUCAUUCCGUAAGCACUUAUUAUGAUUCAGCCACUGUGCUGAGUUCUGUGGGCCUUAUGUCAUUUAAAUCCUGCAAUAACCCUAUGAGAAGAUUUGGGAUUUUCCCAGGGACAAAUACCUAAAACAUGGUAAAGCUACGAAUUCUCAUCCUUGAGCUGAACUUACUCCAGUCUGAUAAGUUUUUAUUGUUAAA